rnacentral:rRNA from 1 species
AGCGAACGCUGGCGGCAGGCUUAACACAUGCAAGUCGAGCGGGCAUAGCAAUAUGUCAGCGGCAGACGGGUGAGUAACGCGUGGGAACGUACCUUUUGGUUCGGAACAACACAGGGAAACUUUUGCUAAUACCGGAUAAGCCCUUACGGGGAAAGAUUUAUCGCCGAAAGAUCGGCCCGCGUCUGAUUAGCUAGUUGGUGGGGUAAAGGCCCACCAAGGCGACGAUCAGUAGCUGGUCUGAGGGGAUGAUCAGCCACAUUGGGACUGAGACACGGCCCAAACUCCUACGGGAGGCAGCAGUGGGGAAUAUUGGACAAUGGGGGCAACCCUGAUCCAGCCAUGCCGCGUGAGUGAUGAAGGCCCUAGGGUUGUAAAGCUCUUUUGUGCGGGAAGAUAAUGACGGUACCGCAAGAAUAAGCCCCGGCUAACUUCGUGCCAGCCGCCGCCGUAA